rnacentral:piRNA from 1 species
GAGCCCUUCCAAUACAAAAACUA